GUUGUGUGAGACUGGCUGAAAUAGCUGUGUGAAAAGCAGAAUCCUAAAUGAAGCUUCUUCAGUUAGGAUCUAUUGUCUGCAAGUCUCAUUAGUAUUAAAACACUUUUUGUGCAUUGGUCUGUAACAAAAUCUCUCUCUUAUGGCACUGGCUGUUGCUUUAGGAAGUGGUGCUGGAACUAAAGAAAGAUAGCUCGAUCCCCGCGUGGAGCACUGGGAGGCUUAUGAUGGAAAUGUGCUCCUUACAGAGCUUGAGUAGGAAGCUGGACCAGGUGACCUCCAGAGGCCCAUCAGUCCUUCUCUGAUUCUGUGAACUGAUGAGCUCAAAGAAUGCACUCCAACUUAAUUGCCAGGCUGGCUGAUUACAAAGAAAAGAAUGGGCUCCACACAAGGGCAUCUGAUUGGAUUGGAAUCUCGUGUGCAAGGGGGCAGGAAUAAGAGGCACUCAAGCUGUGGACUGCAAUGAGGCAGAAACCAGCAGUUGUGACAAUGUCUUGGCAAGCAGGAAGCUGCUAAAGAAGACAGUGCGUGACUAAAAAAGGAUGAGGGGCCAUAGAGCACAGCCAUUGGCUGACAGUCUCCAAAAAAGCCCAGAACAAAGCCUUGUAGCUUAAAAUCUCAAGACUAGUUAAUGGAUGCAACCUUACAACAGAAGGAUGACUGUCUGACGUGAUCCCUCAAACACGUGUCACCAUGUCAAGACAUACCCCAUUUUGGUGACAGAAAGGAAGCAGUGGAAAGUGUGAAAACAACAGGACAUACUGCAGCAUACAAGGACCUAUUUACCUGGACCUGAGCAAGGCCUUUGACA